rnacentral:rRNA from 1 species
CCUACGGGAGACUGCAGUGAGGAAUAUUGGUCAAUGGACGAGAGUCUGAACCAGCCAAGCAGCGUGAAGGAAGACUGCCCUAUGGGUUGUAAACUUCUUUUAUAAAGGAAUAAAACGAGGCACGUGUGCCUUUCUGCAUGUACUUUACGAAUAAGGAUCGGCUAACUCCGUGCCAGCAGCCGCGGUAAUACGGAGGAUCCGAGCGUUAUCCGGAUUUAUUGGGUUUAAAGGGUGCGUAGAUGGGUUGUUAAGUCAGUUGUGAAAGUUUGCGGCUCAACCGUAAAAUUGCAAUUGAUACUGGCAGUCUUGAGUGCAGUUGAGGUAGGCGGAAUUCGUGGUGUAGCGGUGAAAUGCUUAGAUAUCACGAAGAACCCCGAUUGCGAAGGCAGCUUACUAAACUGUAACUGACAUUGAUGCUCGAAAGUGUGGGUAUCAAACAGGAUUAGAUACCCCGGUAGUC